rnacentral:tmRNA from 1 species
GGGGAUGUAAAGGGUUCGACGGGGUCGCGGAGACUCAGGGAGCGAGCCGCAGUGGGUACUGCGUAAAAAACCCAACUUUUUAAAUUAAACGCUAACAAUAAUUUAGCUUACGCUGCCUAAUUUACGCAGCUGCCUUACUGCGAUUACCGCGCUCGCAGACUAAGGUAUCAUCCAAGCGGUGAACGUGAGUUUGGAAAGCUUUGACCAAACCAUGCAUCUAUGAAGCUACUGCUUGCAGAGGCUUGUUUGUGAGCCACUGCACAGCGGGAAUCUAAAUCACAAACUACGCUCGUAGCGCCCUGUGGGGACGCUUCUUCGGACAGGGGUUCAAUUCCCCUCAUCUCCACCA